AGAGUUUGAUCCUGGCUCAGUAGUGAACGUUGGCGGCGUGGAUUAGGCAUGCAAGUCGAGCGAUCGUAGCAAUACGGGAGUCGGCAAACGGGGUAGGAAUACAUCGGAACGUACCUUUUGGUUGAGAAUAGCGUUGGGAAACUGACGGUAAUACUCAAUAAAGUCGAGAGACCAAAGGUUUACUGCCGGAAGAGCGGCCGAUGCGAUAUUAGGUAGUUGGUGGGGUAAUGGCCUACCAAGCCUGAGAUGUCUAGGGGGUGUGAGAGCAUGGCCCCCACCACUGGGACUGGGAUACUGCCCAGACACCUACGGGUGGCUGCAGUCGAGGAUCUUCGUCAAUGGGCGAAAGCCUGAACGAGCGACGCCGCGUGCGGGAUGAAGGCCCUUGGGUUGUAAACCGCUGUCAGGGGGGAUGAAACCGUAAGGUUGACAGAGCCCCAGAGGAAGCACGGGCUAAGUUCGUG
rnacentral:rRNA from 1 species